UGAGACAAUCUCGCUAAGUUGUUUAGGGUCUCAUUAAAUUGCUGAGACUGGCUUUGAACUUGCAAUCCUGCCUCAGCCUCCCCACCUGCUAGGAUUACAGGUGUGAGUCACUCAUCCAGCCCUCACCCCCUCUUUACUCCUUUUUUAAAAAAAAAUUUUUUUAAAUUGUAGAUGGACACAAUAUCUUUAUUUUAUUUAUUUAUUUUUAUGUGGUACUGAGGAUUGAACACAGUGCCUCACACAUAUAAGGCAAGUGCUCUGCCGCUGAGCUAGGGCCCCAGCACCCUCUCUUUUGUAACAUUCUAUUUCCUUGAAGUCAUGUAUCUGUCUAAAUGUCUCCCCCACUUCAUCUCAAGCUCCUGGAGAGUGGGGAUGGUGUUUUAUUUUUCCUCAAUGUUAGCACAUGGCCAUAUAUAAAAGGUGCACUAUCUUGUUAAAAUGAAUCGAAGGGUAAAGGCUCUGUAGUAAUCUCUGGGAAGACAUUCAUAGGCAUUGUCUCAGUUCCCCUCUCCCCUCUAUCCAAUACCUCCCACAGACCACAGAAAGGAGCAGUGAGUUUCAAGGAAGAGUUACAUCACAUACCUCUGAGUCUGUCUCAGCUGCCACCUGCUUCCAACCCCUGCACCUAGAAAACAGUACCCAGACCCCACUAACAAGGA
rnacentral:lncRNA from 1 species